rnacentral:rRNA from 1 species
GCGUGAGUGAAGAAGGCCCUCGGGUCGUAAAGCUCUGUCAGAGGGGAAGAACUCCCUGUCGGAUAAUACCCGGCAGGACUGACGGUACCCUCAAAGGAAGCACCGGCUAACUCCGUGCCAGCAGCCGCGGUAAUACGGAGGGUGCGAGCGUUGUUCGGAAUUAUUGGGCGUAAAGCGCGUGUAGGCGGCUUGGUAAGUCUGAUGUGAAAGCCCGGGGCUUAACUCCGGAAGUGCAUUGGAAACUGCCUGGCUUGAGUACGGGAGAGGAAAGUGGAAUUCCGAGUGUAGGGGUGAAAUCCGU